GCAGUGGUAGUUCAGUGGUAGAAUUUUUGCCUUCCAUGCAGGAGACCGCAAUUCAAUUCCCGGCCAAUGCA
rnacentral:tRNA from 1 species